UACAGAGGGGGGCAAGCGUUGUUCGGAAUUACUGGGCGUAAAGGGCGCGUAGGCGGCCCGCUAAGUCGAACGUGAAAUCCCCGGGCUCAACCCGGGAACUGCGUCCGAUACUGGUGGGCUUGAAUCCGGGAGAGGGAUGCGGAAUUCCAGGUGUAGCGGUGAAAUGCGUAGAUAUCUGGAGGAACACCGGUGGCGAAGGCGGCAUCCUGGACCGGUAUUGACGCUGAGGCGCGAAAGCCAGGGGAGCAAACGGG
rnacentral:rRNA from 1 species